AAGACUAUAGACCUGCGGAGUACCUGCGGAAGGAUCAUUACAUGGCGGAGGAGGUGGGCACCUAGUAAAAACAAAACCCUAGGUGUGUUGCCUACCACGCUUUCUACCCUUGUCUAUUUGCACCUUUUGUCGUUCCCUCGGUGGGUCUUGAACCUGCCGGCGGCAACUUUCAAAAACCUUUUGUAGUUAGUAUCUAAUUCUUCUGAUCAAAUAUUCAAUCGUUACAACUUUUAGCAACGG
rnacentral:misc_RNA from 1 species